UGGUCUUCCAGGAAGAGCCACGCCACUCGUUGCUAUUUACCCGCAGACACUUUGCGUGGAGAAGUACAGAAACAGGCCAGGUCCACUUACGCUGUCCUCCUCUCAGCUGCCCCUCGUAGUUUGCAGCUGGAUUCCUUGGAAAUAUGCUCGAAAGAGUGAUGAAGUCUGUGGUCUGAUUCUAACAGAGCAUUUGGCUUCCAUUUGGGUGGUGAUUGGCUCUCAGAAGCCAGCACAGCUUCACUGGCCUGAAAGAACGGCUAACUGAAUGCAAAAAUGUUGGACUAAAGAACGGUGGAACGGUGGACGAGUGAUUAGCACAUCUACCUCUCAGUUCUGAGGUUGGGGGUUUGAAUCCGGGCUCCUGCCUUCCUGUGUGAAGAUUGCAUGUUCUCCCCGUGCCUGCGUGGGUUUUCUCCAGGUCGCAUUUCAGUCAAAGCUGAGGAGCGGCUGACCUCAGCUGUACUGUGAGCCGCACCCUGUGAGCCGUUGGAACUGCCGAGAAGGAUGACAUCAUCAUGGUGAUGCCAUGCACGCAGAGGCGCUUGUUCGCAAAUAAAGAAUGUGUGCAGCUUGAGGAUCGGUGGAAGAGCGUGAAGCUCGGCAGACCGGCGAGAGCGGCGGCCGCGGAAAAGCUCAAGUGAAAGCGCCGCCGUUGCCGCUGCUGACAGAUGAAUGACUCUAAUUAGAAAUCCAUAACAUCCUGCCACAUGGCCGCCUUAUCCCCAGCGCGCUUCCUGCUCUGGGCCGGCCUGACGACAGCCAGCCCAGCUUGCUCCUUCCGUCACUCAAAGCCACCAUUCCUCCACCUCCCCCCCACGGUGUCCGGACCAGCCCAGGGCACGAGUUGAGCAAGUCCAGAGAGCAACGCUGGGAAUCCAGACGAUAACACGAGCUGCAGGCCUGGAGGAUUCUCGAGGUGCCAACUCGGAGGAUAAGCAGCAGCAGUGGGCCAGGAGAGGAACAGCCGCUCUCAUUAAACAAGACAUAAUGGGCUUUCACGAGACAUCAUGAGCGCUUGCACAAAACCCUAACGGCCCUGCUGCAGCGUCUCCGCACCAUUAUGAGCCCCUCCACAUCUCUGGAGGCCUGGGCCAGCCUCUCGUCACCCCGGCAUCCUGAUCGUGGGUACUUCCCUGCUGGAUCUUGAGAGGCUGCACUACAGCGCCACAUCAGAGGAGCUUGCUGAUCUCCUGAUCUCCACCAGCCUUAAAAGUCCUCCAUGGCGAAGCCAGCCAGUUGCUUGUGGUAAAGUAGUUCCCUGCCAAGACGGGGUGAAAAUUGUCAUCAGUAGUGUAGUCAGCCAAGGAACAUGAAUGCACUAUUCUGAUCUUGGACCUCAACUACAUCAAUCAUCUUGGAUUGGAUGUCAUUCAAAAUGUAUCGGUUCCUACGGUGACACAGAUCAAUCAUGUCCGAAAGUAAGCUCUGAUUGGCUGAGCUCGCCAAAGGAACAUGUUUCACUCACCUGACCAAGUAUCUUGAAUCAGUUAUCCUUUGAAAAUAAUGGCAUUGUUCGAUUGUUCGACGAAACGAUUGCGAUACGAGUUACCCAACAUACGAAUUUUGCAAGGUACGAGCUGCUGUUUGGCCGAUUUUUUUAUGCUUUGAGAUGAGAGCAAAAAUUUGAGACACAAGCGCUGUCUGGUGGCACCGAUCUCAACCCAAUUAAUUUCAGUUUGGCAGGUAGGGAUGAAUUUUUCAAAACAAGGGUCUUCAAGCUGUUUAUUGCCACUCCUGAUUGAAGUUUAUUGUCAAACUAAACAUAUCAUAUUCAGAAUUACACAUUGUGUAUUUAAAAUUAACCAAAUAGCUUGGCUUAAAGUCCGCUUAGCUUAAUGCUAGCAACACCAGGAGGAGCAGCACAAUCUCCAUUGAAUUGAAGCAAAAAAUGUGGCAAAAACUAUUUUAAUUCGUUGCAUUCUAUUGACCUAUGUCAUUUCGGCACAUUUUUAUAAAGUACAAUAUUGUAGAGUGCUACUAAUAAAAAACACAUUCAAAAAUGUUUCGCUGGCUGGAACGUAUUAAUGGGAUUUCUAUUCAUUUCCAUGGCGAAAGAUGAUUUGAGAUACAAAUGUUUUGCGUUACAAGGGUGGUCACGGAACGACAUGAACUCAUCUCACCACUGUAUCUUGGUUUGGAAAUACAGUUCUUCAAAAUCAAUAAGGUUCUUGCUGGAAGACACAAAGAUAAUGCCCAAAAACAAAAAAAUGUUUUGCUGCAACUGUGAUUGCCAGUGCUCCGCAUGGUUCCUUCGUAAUGAAAAGGAUUCUUGCAGUGAAACAGACACUUUCAUGUCCACUCAUUAUAGAAAGAAUCCAACUCCUAUGCAGUGUUCUUGUUGUCCUAUAUUGGACUGUUGUAAUACUGUUAUUGUUCUCUGCUGUUUUUGUUCUUUUCCGUGUCUGACUGCAUUUUCAAUAAAUAUCCAUCACAAUGCAAAUAACCACAGGGACACGAUAUUAAACCCACAAUAAAACAAUACAAUAAAAUUCUUCCGGUAUAAAAAGGCAUACAGAUCGGAGCCUAACAGGACUAAAAUGUAACCCACAUC